rnacentral:rRNA from 1 species
UUUUGUAUAAUGGGUCAGCGACUUAUAUUCUGUAGCAAGGUUAACCGAAUAGGGGAGCCGAAGGGAAACCGAGUCUUAACUGGGCGUUAAGUUGCAGGGUAUAGACCCGAAACCCGGUGAUCUAGCCAUGGGCAGGUUGAAGGUUGGGUAACACUAACUGGAGGACCGAACCGACUAAUGUUGAAAAAUUAGCGGAUGACUUGUGGCUGGGGGUGAAAGGCCAAUCAAACCGGGAGAUAGCUGGUUCUCCCCGAAAGCUAUUUAGGUAGCGCCUCGUGAAUUCAUCUCCGGGGGUAGAGCACUGUUUCGGCAAGGGGGUCAUCCCGACUUACCAACCCGAUGCAAACUGCGAAUACCGGAGAAUGUUAUCACGGGAGACACACGGCGGGUGCUAACGUCCGUCGUGAAGAGGGAAACAACCCAGACCGCCAGCUAAGGUCCCAAAGUCAUGGUUAAGUGGGAAACGAUGUGGGAAGGCCCAGACAGCCAGGAUGUUGGCUUAGAAGCAGCCAUCAUUUAAAGAAAGCGUAAUAGCUCACUGGUCGAGUCGGCCUGCGCGGAAGAUGUAACGGGGCUAAACCAUGCACCGAAGCUGCGGCAGCGACGCUGAUGCGUUGUUGGGUAGGGGAGCGUUCUGUAAGCCUG